GGCCAUGAACAUGGAUGGACCUGCGGUGCAUUAGCUAGUUGGUGAGGUAACGGCCCACCAAGGCGACGAUGCAUAGCCGGCCUGAGAGGGCGGACGGCCACAUUGGGACUGAGACACGGCCCAAACUCCUACGGGAGGCAGCAUG
rnacentral:rRNA from 1 species